CCUACGGGUGGCAGCAGUGGGGAAUAUUGCACAAUGGGCGCAAGCCUGAUGCAGCCAUGCCGCGUGUAUGAAGAAGGCCUACGGGUUGUAAAGUACUUUCAGCGGGGAGGAAGGUGUUGCGGUUAAUAACCGCAGCAAUUGACGUUACCCGCAGAAGAAGCACCGGCUAACUCCGUGCCAGCAGCCGCGGUAAUACGGAGGGUGCAAGCGUUAAUCGGAAUUACUGGGCGUAAAGCGCACGCAGGCGGUCUGUCAAGUCGGAUGUGAAAUCCCCGGGCUCAACCUGGGAACUGCAUUCGAAACUGGCAGGCUGGAGUCUUGUAGAGGGGGGUAGAAUUCCAGGUGUAGCGGUGAAAUGCGUAGAGAUCUGAAGGAAUACCAGUGGCGAAGGCGGCCCCCUAGACAAAGACUGACGCUCAGAUGCGAAAGCGUGGGGAGCAAACAGGAUUAGAUACCCGGGUAGUC
rnacentral:rRNA from 1 species